rnacentral:ncRNA from 1 species
GUCUGAGAAGAGCUGAUAAAAGGAGAGGCCAAACUUUUGCUUCCACAGGGCAGAAGGGCAAAAGCUCGCUUGAUCUUGAUUUUCAGUACGAAUACAGACCGUGAAAGCGGGGCCUCACGAUCCUUCUGGCUUUUUGGGUUUUAAGCAGGAG